rnacentral:lncRNA from 1 species
CUCCGUCAUCUGUUCCUGCCUUACUUAGAUGGAAAAUAAUGAAAUCUGUGUAGGAAGGGAGGAAAUUCUCUGAAGAGGACACUUUACCUGGCUGGACAGGAAGCACGGCAGCAUCUACUCGGCUUCUGAGGCGUCCUCAGGAAACCUACAAUCAAGGUGGAAGGCGACAGGGGAAGCAGACAUGUUUUAUGUGGCUGGAGGAAGAGGAAGAGAAGUGGGGGGAGGUGCCACACACUUAAACAACCAGGUCUCUUGAGAACUCCAUCACAACAGCACCACGAGGAUGGUGCUAAACCAUUCAUGAAGGAUCCACCACCACAGUCCAGUCACCUUCCACCAGGCUCCACCUCCAACACUGGGGGUUACAAUUUGAAAUGAGAUUUGGUAGGGACACAGAACCAAACCAUAUCAGACAGUUCUUAAAAAUCUUUUUCAAUUUAACAUUUA